CUAGAAGUUGGUACUUUAGCAAUUGAUUUCUGGGCAGCCAAUGCAUCCUACUGGUGAAGUCUGAGAUUUUUGCAGCUAAGGAAGGCAGAAAUUUCAAGUGACUGUCCGAUAGAGAUGCAGCUACCAACUUGCUGUACUGCUGGAAAGGCAUUUUUGCAUGUAUUCUGGUUAACAUGAAUUGAUAAUACCAGUCAGAAAAGAUUUUAAGCAUUACAUACAUGCAUUCUCAGACCUGUUUUAUCCAAUUUCUGGGAUGUGAGCAGUUUAUUCCAACAGCACUAGCAAAGAUGGAAACAACCCCGGACAAUUCCAGGUGCAAAUCCAUUGCAAAGA